ensembl:lncRNA
GCGGCUGUUUGAUUGGCAAUCGCGCUGUGCUUAUUCUUUCGUGUAUCAUAUCGUAGCCUGUAAGGUUUAAAUCAUUGCCUUUUAUAUAUACACAAAUAGUAGAACAUGUAUGAUGUAAUAUUUUAGGUAAUAUUAGGCCUGCUCUUGCCAAGCUCUGAUUUCUGAGAGAUGCACGCGUGACAAUAGCAAUGCGGUGUAUGAUUUGCGCUCUUUUAAUUCAUAAAAUUUACGUUCAUUCACUUCACACACUCACUGAGUGAAUUUAGAGGUCUGUGUAAAAUAUUGUGCUGAUCCCCUGGCUCACCUGUGAAUCUAGCAAACACCAGACUGUGCUGCAGCCUCAGCCGAAUAUUCGGGCAGAGCUAUUCGUUAUCUGUUAUUCAUUUUUGAAGCCAUUAUCUGUGCUUUUCGAAUAAGGUAUUCGGCUUCGGGCACACCCCUAAUUGCCAUGUUAUCAUUCUUAUUGAUAGUGUAUAUAUAUAUAUAUAUAUAUAUAUAUAUAUAUAUAUAUAUAUAUAUAUAUAUAUAUAUAUAUAUAUAUAUAUAUAUAUAUAUAUAUAAAUAUAAAAUUAUUUUCAUACAUAUUGAUGCAGCUAAAGAUGUUUUUAAUGAUUUUAUUGUGAUUUUAAUGUUUUAAUGACCAUUGGCAUAUCUAUUUGAAAUACUAAAAACAUUUUACAAAAAUAAGAGAAUGUCUGUUUAAAUAGUAUCACUUUCUUUUGUAUUUUCUGUAAUUUUGCUUAGUGCACAGUGCACAUAUGAAAGUGUUCUUUGCUGUUCUGGUUUUGUCCAUUGUAAAUGACCACAUUGAAACAUUGUUAGGAUAAGACCAUUGGAGUCUGAUAAAUCCUUUGACAUUUAGACAGUCUGACUCAUAAAAUUAAUGCAGAGCUUCCAGAUGGAAGACCAAAUAAAAAAAUAAUAUCUGUAGUGACAUGCUGAACUAGGAGCAUAAAAAAAAAAAAAACAUUCUCUGUAAUAUUGUUUUUUUUUUUUUUUAUUAUUUUCCAAAAGACCGGCAGCUCAGUCUACUAGACACUGAUCUAAUCUCAGGGUUUAUAUUUUAUGAAUAUGCUGGUGCGGUACAUUGUUGAUGGCUCAUGUUCUAAUCAAGUUUUUGAAGUGCUGAUUAUUUUAAAUUUUUUGUUAAAUAAAUGUUGAUUUGUUUUAAAUAAAAUGGAAAUUUCUACACUUGGGUGCUUUUCAGUGUGGGCCGAUUAAAAGGA